rnacentral:lncRNA from 1 species
UGUUGUUGGGCCGAAGGCUGAGGCCAGUUCCGAUCCUGAGAGAAAAAAUGGGUCAGAAGUUGUGCAAAAAGAGACAAAAUGGAGCCGUGGAGGGAGCUCCUGGAAAGGCCCCAAUGCCUUGUGUAUCCCAGAGCAGCAAAAGGAAAUGGAGGGUCCUUGAGGCACUUCAGAUAGGUUUGCCCUGCCUUGCCUCGUGUUCUGGGAACCCUCAAGGGUUUUUCAAUGGGCAUGGAGGGCCCUCCAUGUUUGUGAGGAGGAACCCCCAUGUCAUUUUUGCAGGGGGAAUUGCAGUAGCCGCCCCCCCCCCGCAGCAGGGGUGGUGUUUCUCCUGGGCUGUGUGUGUGUGAUGUGGGGAAAAAAUGCUCCUCAAGUCCCUCGUUGCCCCGAGAGGGGAAAAACAACAGAGGAAGCCAUGACGGCUGCUGAGCCCCCUCUUUCCCCUGAGAGAGACCCCUCUUCUGGCAGCAGUAGGGCAGGGCCCCCCAAGCGGGGGAACUGCCUGGCCUGGAUCUGGACCCAAGCCAUCGUAAGGUCCAGCCACCUCAACCGUCGGGACCUGAGAUGGACCGGCGGGCCCCUUGGGACGACCCAAGGCUGCCCCAGCACAAUGAGGAAGCCAUGGACGGAGCCUGAAAGCCACAGAAGCAACAACAAAGGUAGGAAACUGUCUCCAGUGGGUUGAAAGAAUCUCCAAAGGAGGACAGGUAAGCAGGGCUUGGGCUGGAUGGGAGGGUAAAAUUUUGGUCUGUGGGAUGUUUCGUGUAGGGAGUAUGAUCUUCUUAGUGGAAGUGGAGGUUAUGUGUUGUUUUGUGUGUAUGCGGCAAUUGGGCUGUGUGCGUGCAAAAAGUAGUUUCAUGCACCUUACUUGUCUGUGCCUUACUUUUUCUCCUCGUUUAGAACCUUUUCUUUUUAUUGAUUUUUAAUGCAUUACUGAUAGAACUGUGGGGAAAGGAGAAAAAAGAGAAAUCCCACGACAGUUGGGUUUGAUUUUCACAGUAACAAUAGUAGUCCUGGUUAGACUUCCGCCAAGCUCUUUGAGUAGAUUUUGUUCAAUAAUGUGCCUUUGCUUGACUUUCUCUUGACUUGAAAGUAGCAUA